rnacentral:rRNA from 1 species
UUCUGGGCUACGACACGUGCUACAAUGGCCGGUACAGACGGACGCAAAGCCGCGAGGUGGAGCAAAUCCUAAAAAGCCGGUCUCAGUUCGGAUUGCAGGCUGCAAUUCGCCUGCAUGAAGUCGGAAUCGCUAGUAAUCGCAGGUCAGCAUACUGCGGUGAAUACGUUCCCGGGCCUU